rnacentral:rRNA from 1 species
AAACGGUAGGGUAUUGGCCUACCGUGGCAAUGACGGGUAACGGGGAAUUAGGGUUCGAUUCCGGAGAGGGAGCCUGAGAAACGGCUACCACAUCUAAGGAAGGCAGCAGGCGCGCAAAUUACCCAAUCCUAAUACAGGGAGGUAGUGACAAGAAAUAACAAUACAGGACUUUUUGGUUUUGUAAU